AUUGAACGCUGGCGGCAUGCCUUACACAUGCAAGUCGAACGGCAGCGCGGGCUUCGGCCUGGCGGCGAGUGGCGGACGGGUGAGUAAUGCAUCGGAACGUGCCCAGGAGUGGGGGAUAACGUAGCGAAAGUUACGCUAAUACCGCAUACGUACUGAGGUAGAAAGCGGGGGAUCGAAAGACCUCGCGCUCAUGGAGCGGCCGAUGUCGGAUUAGCUAGUUGGCGGGGUAAAAGCCCACCAAGGCGACGAUCCGUAGCUGGUCUGAGAGGACGACCAGCCACACUGGGACUGAGACACGGCCCAGACUCCUACGGGAGGCAGCAGUGGGGAAUCUUGGACAAUGGGGGAAACCCUGAUCCAGCAAUGCCGCGUGUGGGAUGAAGGCCCUCGGGUUGUAAACCACUUUUGGCAGGAACGAAAAGGUUUGGCCUAAUAAGCUGAGCUCAUGACGGUACCGUAAGAAUAAGCACCGGCUAACUACGUGCCAGCAGCCGCCGUAA
rnacentral:rRNA from 1 species